rnacentral:rRNA from 1 species
CCUACGGGUGGCAGCAGUGAGGAAUAUUGGUCAAUGGUCGGGAGACUGAACCAGCCAAGCCGCGUGAGGGAGGAAGGUACAGAGUAUCGUAAACCUCUUUUGUCAGGGAACAAAGUCGGGGACGUGUCCCCGGAUGAGUGUACCUGAAGAAAAAGCAUCGGCUAACUCCGUGCCAGCAGCCGCGGUAAUACGGAGGAUGCGAGCGUUAUCCGGAUUUAUUGGGUUUAAAGGGUGCGCAGUGGGGCUGUUAAGUCAGCGGUCAAAGCCCGGGGCUCAACCCCGGCCCGCCGUUGAAACUGGCAGUCUUGAGUUGGAGUGAAGUAUGCGGAAUGCGCGGUGUAGCGGUGAAAUGCUUAGAUAUCGCGAAGAACUCCGAUUGCGAAGGCAGCAUGCCGGAUCCACACUGACGCUGAGGCACGAAAGCGUGGGUAUCGAACAGGAUUAGAUACCCCUGUAGUC